CACGUAGGGGGCAAGCGUUGUCCGGAUUCAUUGGGCGUAAAGAGCUCGUAGGCGGUUCGAUAAGUCGGGUGUGAAACCUCCAGGCUCAACCUGGAGACGCCACCCGAUACUGUCGUGACUAGAGUCCAGUAGGGGAGCGUGGAAUUCCUGGUGUAGCGGUGAAAUGCGCAGAUAUCAGGAGGAACACCAGCGGCGAAGGCGGCGCUCUGGGCUGGAACUGACGCUGAGGAGCGAAAGUGUGGGGAGCGAACAGG
rnacentral:rRNA from 1 species